rnacentral:lncRNA from 1 species
AUGACAAGGAAGAGAUCUAUUUCUCUUUUAAAUGUUGUGAUGAUUUUAAGCAUGAUAGUAACAACAUUAGAUGCACAUAAAAUUGAUGCAAUUACUUGCCCUGAUGCUCUUUUAUCCUUGCUUCCAUGUCUUCCUUAUUUGCAAGGAACUGGUCCUGCUGCACCAACUAGUGCAUGUUGUGCAGGUGCAAAUAAUUUAAAUCAAAAGGCAGACACCACUCAAAGUCGAAGAGAUGUGUGCAAUUGUCUCAAACCUGCUGCAUCAAGAUUUGGAGUUAAUCCUGACAGAUCAAAAUAA